CAAAGGCCAGUGGGCGGCCGCGCGCACCGCCGGACCGCGCCGCCGCCGGGCGCGCCGGGCCUCGGGAAGACGGCGCAGAUUCCUCCUGGCUCUCUUUUUUAUCUCCCGGGGGGACGGCUUUUGCCUCGACACUCCGGCCGGCCGCGGCACCGGGCGACGGCGCCCGGUCUGCUCGCGCGCAGAUUCCGAGCGGGACGCGGUGGCCGUCGAUCGAUUCCCACCGAGAACCGAGCGAAUCCGACGCCUUCUUUCCGUUUCUUUUUCCCCGUGGUGGGGCUGUUGCUGCUCGACGGCGACCGGACGGACGCGAGAGGCAGCGGUGGACAUUAAUAAAGGAAUCAAUACAUUUUGGCGCUCGGUCUCCAGCUUCCGUUCGGCCAGGUGGCUCGCCGUUGAAAGGUCGCAGGGCCCGGGAGAGCGACCGGCCUUUUCACAGGAAAGAGGCCGCUACAGCGAUGAGGAGGCCCAGCCGUG
rnacentral:lncRNA from 1 species